AAGACAUUAGUAAAAUAAAUUAUAUUACCUUGUCAAGGUAAAGUAGUAGGCUAAUACCCUACAUGUCUUA
rnacentral:tRNA from 1 species